GACGAACGCUGGCGGCGUGCCUAAUACAUGCAAGUUGAGCGCUGAAGGUUGGUACUUGUACCAACUGGAUGAGCAGCGAACGGGUGAGUAACGCGUGGGGAAUCUGCCUUUGAGCGGGGGACAACAUUUGGAAACGAAUGCUAAUACCGCAUAAAAACUUUAAACACAUGUUUUAAGUUUGAAAGAUGCAAUUGCAUCACUCAAAGAUGAUCCCGCGUUGUAUUAGCUAGUUGGUGAGGUAAAGGCUCACCAAGGCGAUGAUACAUAGCCGACCCGAGAGGGUGAUCGGCCACAUUGGGACUGAGACACGGCCCAAACUCCUACGGGAGGCAGCAGUAGGGAAUCUUCGGCAAUGGACGAAAGUCUGACCGAGCAACGCCGCGUGAGUGAAGAAGGUUUUCGGAUCGUAAAACUCUGUUGGUAGAGAAGAACGGUGGUGAGAGUGGAAAGCUCAUCAAGUGACGGUAACUAACCAGAAAGGGACGGCUAACUACGUG
rnacentral:rRNA from 1 species